AGCGCAGCGUAAUGCGCCCUCUGGUGAGAGAUUGGCGAACGACAUCUGGUGGAAGUUUGCUUUCCAAGCGAAGAUUUUGAUUACAUUUAAGUUGAACAAGUUACAAAACUUUCAGCGAGAUGCUUUAUCGAAGCGGAGGGUGUAUUUGUUUCUAUAAAGACGGGAAGAAAAAGCCUGUGUUACCAAACGUUCACUACUGCGCACGAGUCUAUGUACAGCACUCGUAGCCUCGCCAUUUUUAUCCAUCAUACGGGAGCAAUGCGUUUUUUAACGGACUUGGUAUUUCAUCGGUUUAUAUAGAAAUGGAAACCAGUGGAAAUUCACCGAACUAAAACUUACCAACAAACUGACCAAUGCUAUUAUCGUGACACUAAACUUAAAACCACCAGUAGAACAUUGUCAGGAAAAACAUCAACACAAUGUUUUGAAGUAUCGAUAGCGCUUUCUAGAUGAACGUUCUGGUGUUCAGAAAUAGCCAAGGUCUUAGGCCUGUUUUGUUUACAUGUAUCUUUCAUCAGGGCCUCAUUUGAAGCUUCAUAAAAAUCACCAUCGAUGGAUUUCUCACAGUAGCAUGAAGUUACAGAAUUUAAAUUUUUUUCCUUCGGGAUCGCAACGAGUUGACGGAUUUGCAGUGUUCCUUUUACAGCUUCAACAUAUUUUAUUAUUUCAUUUCUCUUAUCCUUGGAUGUAGUUCAGUGGUAUAGAGCGUUCGCUUGUAACCGGGAGGUCAUGAGUUCGAGCCCUGCUCGUUUCUCUGCCGUGUUAUAAGACGUAGAAAUAGAUAGUGAUUGCUCCUUCGUCUAACGCUUGACAUUUAUAGAUGUGUGAAUCACGGGUAUUUCGGAUGUGACCUUAGAAAUAGAGGAUCCCGUGGGAAUCCGGGUUAGAAUAGGUCCUCAGUAACCCCUGCUUGUCGUAAGAGGAUACUAAAUGGGAUGGUCCUUCGGAUGAUACUGCAAAAUCCGAAGCCUCGUGUCAUAGCAAGUAUAGAACGAUAAAGAUCCCUUCCUGCUCAAAAUAUGUUGGCGCCGAGCACAGACUUAAAUUUUGCAGUUCUUCACCGGCAAUGGUGACGUCUCCAUAUGGGUGAAAAAUUCUCGAGAGGGACGUUAAACAAUACUAUCAAUCAAUCACGCAACACUGGACCUCCGUUUUAAGCUCAUCUGAGGCGAGGGCUCAAGUGGGCUUUUCUGAUCAAAAUUGGUCCGGCGUCUGUUAUCGUUAACUUUUUACAUUUUCAUCUUCUCGGAUCCGGAUUAGAAUAGGUCCUCAGUGCCUCUUGCUUGUCGUAGAAGGCGACUAAAUGGGGCGGUCCUUCAGAUGAGACCGCAAAACCCGAGGUCCCGUGUCACAGCAGGUGUGGCACGAUAAAGAUCCCUCCCGGCUCAAAGGCCAUAAGCCCUGAGCAUAGGCCGAAAUUUUGCAGUCCUUCACCGGCUGAGUGAAAUAUUUUUCGAAAGAGGCGUUACACAAUAUUCAAUCAAUCAAUCUCCUGAACCACAGGGCCAAUUUCAAUCAAACUUUGCACAAAUCUUCCUUAGAUGAAGGGGAUUCAAGUUUGUUCAAAUGAAGACCCAUUCCUCCUUCAAAGGAGAGAUAAUGAAGAAAAGGAUAAAAAUAGGAUUGGGCUUUCUAAAAAUCCUCCCGAGAACUAUCGACCAGGAAAUUGGAAAUACAUAAAAGGUUCUGACAUAGAGUAGAUUCAAGUUUGUUCAAAUCAUGGCUCUCGGAGGUAGGGUGGGGUCACAACAGGGGAUAUUUUACAUGCUGAUGUAUAGGGAAAUUCUUUAGAUAUCUUUUUCUCAAGUAUCAAUGGGCCAGAAAAGUGGAAAAUUACAUGGAUGUUUCCUGACAUAAAGUAAAUUCAAAUUUGUUUAUAUAUUGGUCCAAGGGGUAGACUGGGCGACAGUUGUCAGGGGCGGAUCCAGGAAUUGCAGUUAGGGGGAGGGGCGGAACUUUAUGAAGCAGGGGUCUAGGGGCCGCCUUGAGGCCUCCAGGGGAAGAAGCUCCUGGAUUUUACAGAUUUUAUAGGGCUUGUAAUACGUCUCCUAUGUAGUCAUUUUUACUAUUUUCUGUCACUUUUAAUUGAGGGAAAUCAAUAUAAUCACGCAAAUUUUAAGGGUUUUUGGAAAAAAUGUAAGUUCACAAUAAAAGUAAUUCAAUAAAUCAAAA